AAAAAAAAAGCAAAACCCUAGAUCCUAUUUUGAUUUGUGCUUGUCUCUUGUUCUAAAAGCUAAAGCUAAUCUUGACAUCUUGUCUCCAUUUACUCUAUGACUGCUUGUGCAAUGCUAUUUUCCAAUUCCUCCAAGGAUUAUGUCAAGUGAAGAACUGGGCAGUGGGCAAGCACUUCCAUUUGAUCUCAAAGAUAAAAUUAUCAAAAGUUGCAGAAGAACUGAAUAAUGAAGUUGGCCGAGUAUUAUCCAAGUGAGAUUGAUGACAACAAGCUUCGAGAUCUUAGCUUUCAGUUGAUAGUUUUAUUGUCUAUGCUUGAAUGUCUCAUAGCAAAUUUAUCAACUUGAAGGGAAUGAAGGAUCUUGCUAUAGUGAUGGCAGAGACGAAAUUGGAUCAAACUUGGUGUUAUAUUUAUUUACUUGUGAAGUUGACUUUAAUUCUACCUGUUGCUACUGCAAGCGUGGAAAGGGCAUUCUCCUUAAUGAAGCUCAUAAAAAGUGAUCUACAUAAUAGCAUUAGUGAAGAGUUUUUGAAUGCUUGUUUAGUUGCAAUAUAGAGCGUAAUUUAUUUGCAACUGUAAGUAAUGAUGCUAUUAUUGAUCGUUUUCAAAGUAUGAAAACUCGUCGAGUACAAUUGUAAACUG